rnacentral:rRNA from 1 species
UACGGAGGGGACUAGCGUUGUUCGGAAUUACUGGGCGUAAAGCGCACGUAGGCGGAUUUGUAAGUCAGGGGUGAAAUCCCGGGGCUCAACCUCGGAACUGCCUUUGAUACUGCAAAUCUCGAGUCCGGAAGAGGUGAGUGGAAUUCCUAGUGUAGAGGUGAAAUUCGUAGAUAUUAGGAAGAACACCAGUGGCGAAGGCGGCAUCCUGGACCGGCAUUGACGCUGAGGCGCGAAAGCCAGGGGAGCAAACGGG